UGUCCAGUAGCACCUUAGAGACCAACUAAGUUUGUUCUUGAUAUAAGCAUGCACACAAAAGCUUAUACCAAGAACAACUUAGUUGGUCUCUAAGGUGCUACUGGACA